rnacentral:lncRNA from 1 species
CUUCUUUGUGGGUAUUUUUCCUCCCUCUCUGCAGAGCUUUCCUGAGUGUGAUUAAAAAUGGCAAGUAAAUUAGCAUGUGAAAGUAUGCGUGAGGGGGAAAACGGUCCUACAGGAGGUCACAGCGUCAUGACACGGUUCCAGUUUCCCCAGGUGUACCUGCGACUCCAGGCUGAGCAAGGGGAGGUGAAAUCUGACUCUUGGCAAAGCCCAGCCCCUGCAUGGCUUUCUUUCUUCCCAGAAUCGCUGUGACUCUCCUUUGAAAGAUGCUUCAGCUCACCCCGGAUGUUCCCUGCCAUCUCCCCUCCCGGAUGCCGGUGCGGCUGGCAGGCAGAUCAAUUGGUCCAGCAGCUCUGCCAUCCAAGACACAGAGCUGGGCUGACAUCUCCCAGAGAGGCCCAGAGAUUCAAGUCUGGGCACCUGGGUCUCUGUUCAGCGCCGAGCAACAGGCAGGCACCAGGCUCGCUGUCAGCUGAGCAGUGAAAAGGGACAAGCUGCUGUGUCAAAAGUGACACGUCGGCUUCUGCUGGUCUUGCAAAGAUAUCGGCAGUGAUGUGACUGUGGGCUGACAAAGGCAACAGAAGUGGCUGCUUUCUGGGCUGGAUUGAAAUUCAUCAGCUCCCUGUGUUCACGGCGAUGAUUUCCAAUGCUAAUUCUCAGCGAGCCAGGCAUGAAAUAUAUUCACGGGCGCUGCUUGUGAGGGCCCUUUGGAGUUAUUUGAGGUACCUGUGAUGAAAACAUCUGUGCCACUUGCUUUUGUGUGUUUUUGUUCCCUUGGUUUCAAUUAUGCAGGCAACGAACCUUUGGGGGGAGAGAAAGAGCAAGAGAGAGAUGGGGGGCUUGCUGAUGUCGCCCCUUUCCUUCCUGAUAAGAGCAGGAGGCUGGAUGCUGCCUGAACAGGAGAUGUGGGGGAGAAGAGGGGCGACAUUCAUCUCCCAUAGCUGCAGCACGCCGAUCAUGCAGAUGAGGUUGUCUAAAAGCUUCCCCUGUCCCAUGGAGUGCCUUGGGGUCCCCGAGCCAUUCUCUCCUGACAGGACAAACGCAGGAAAGAUACACUCUCUACCAUGGCGCCCGGGGCUCAGCACCAUGUGGUCUUGGCCAAGCCCUGCCCCUCACACCCACCAGGACCUCAGGCCUCA